GCGCGCGAACCCCGCCGGCCACGUCCGGCCCCCGCCCGGCCUUUGUCCCGGUGCUGAGCCGCCGCGCCGGGGGAGGGGACUGGACUGACCCCGUCGCCCGUUCACUGAUUGACGUAUCGAUUCAUUCCAGCACUCUCGCUCCGGCAGCCGCCAUCCACCGCCAGUUUGGAGAGCCGGACACCCGGGUUCGAAUCCCGGCUUUGCCGCUUUUCCACUCUGUGCCCUCGUUGCUUCCUCGUGUGAAAUGAGGGGACAGACAGCUGAUCUUUCUGAGCUGCCCAUGGCUGGGACCACUGCCUCCAUUCCCAACACCCUGCUGGGGACCCCGCCUUCCAAAGAACAUGCCCCAGGCACACAGGUGAGCUCCCGCCAUGCACUCCCCGUGAAAGGGAAGCCGUCUGGAGGCAGUGUGGCACCUGAAGACGCUGGAGCUGCUGCUGUCAGGGACACACGCCCUGCCCAUUCAUCUGCCUUCUGCGCCGGGAGCCCCCGCAGAUGCGGAAGAUGCAGGGAAUGAUUCAGCCCCAGCCUUAGUAAGUCAAUUUCCACUCAUUCACAACUUACGAUGGUUUCACACAGGGUGCUGGAUUGAUGCUUCGUGUUACUCAGCAAGGCUUGCUUCUGCGAGAGGGAGGAGCAGUGGUGGUGGGGGGAACCCUUCCUCGGUGAGGCCUACUUGUCCAGCACAGUGCUCAGGGCCCUGCAAGAGUCCCAGCGGGAGAGUGACUUGCUCAAGGUCACACAGCUCAAGGGGCAAACUGGAUUUGAACCCAGACUGUGGGGCUCCAGGGAACCAUGGUGGGGUGCACCCCUCCCACCACCACCAGUCUUAGAUUGGCAGCCUUUUGUGGAGCGUCCAUGCUGUGCCCAGGCCUGUGCGGGAAGCCUCUGGAAGACGCAGGGAGAGUGGCCGGCCUUGUGGCAAGAUAGGACACAUGUAUUGCUAUUACUGUUUAUUACCACCCUCUCUAACUCUGAUCCUUAGAGAAAAAGAGGCACUGAAGAAAAUGAGUAAAGAGGAGCAGAGUUUCUUUUUUCCUCCCAAGUGAAUCAUUGAAAGAAAUGGUGAAAUUAGACCCAUUACAUCUUCUGGAGAAACUGGAAGGGGCUUGCAGUAGGUUGAAUGGUGGCCGCCCCAGAAGAUAUGUCCUUGGAACCUGCUAAUGAAACCUUACUUGAAAAAGGCAUCUUUGGGCCGGGCACAGUGGCUCACACCUGUAAUCCCAGCACUUUGCGAGGCCAAGGCCAGUGGAUCACCUGAAGUCAGGAGUUCAAGACCAGCCUGGCCAACAUGGCGAAAUCCCAUCUCUACUAAAAAUACAAAAAGUAUCUGGGUGUGGUGGUGGGUGCCUGUAACCCCAUCUACUCGGGAGCCUGAGGAAGGAGAAUAACUUGAACCUGGGAGGCAGAGGUUGCAGUGAGCCGAGGUCGCGCCACUGCACCCCAGCCUGGGCGACAGAGCGAGACUCCGUCUCAAAAAAAAAAAAAAAAAAAAAAAAAAAAAAAAAAAAAAAAAAAAGAGAGAGAGAGAAAGGCAUCUUUGUCAAUGUAUUUAAGUUAAGGAUCUUGAGAUGAGAUUAUCCUGGAUUGUCCAGUUAACCCUGAAUCCAGUGACAAGUGUCUUUAAAAGAGAUACACAGAGGAGAAGACAGACACAAAGAGAGAAGGUGAUGUGAAGAUGGGGGCAGAGAUUGGAGGGACGCAGCUACAAGCCAAGAAAACCAAGGAUUGCUGGCAGCCACCAGAGGCUGGGAGAGAGGCCUGGGUUGAGACGGCCUCAGAGCCUCCAGAGGGAGCCUGGUCCUGCUGACACCUCAGUUUUGGAGUUCUGACCUCCAGAACUAUGAGAAAAUAAAUUUCUGUUGUUUCAAGCCACCGAGUUUGUGGUAACUUUUCAUGGCAGACCUAGGAAACUAAUACAGGAAUGAACUUGGGGAAAACAACAGUGGGAAGGUCCUUGCCCAGUGGAGCCCUUCCUGGAUGGCACUGUCCACACCCAGGGCUUCAUUCCUUCUCCAAAGA
rnacentral:lncRNA from 1 species